rnacentral:rRNA from 1 species
UACGUAGGGCGCAAGCGUUGUCCGGAAUUAUUGGGCGUAAAGAGCUCGUAGGCGGUUUGUCGCGUCUGCUGUGAAAUCCCGAGGCUCGACCUCGGGCUUGCAGUGGGUACGGGCAGACUAGAGUGCGGUAGGGGAGACUGGAAUUCCUGGUGUAGCGGUGGAAUGCGCAGAUAUCAGGAGGAACACCGAUGGCGAAGGCAGGUCUCUGGGCCGCAACUGACGCUGAGGAGCGAAAGCAUGGGGAGCGAACAGG